rnacentral:lncRNA from 1 species
AAAAAAUCCCAUUUGAAGAAAGAGUCCAAUUUCCACCUUUGGACUGCCUUGAGUCUGGGUGGCACGCGGGACUGAGGCGGGCAGCCAGGCUGCAGCCAUGCGGAGGAGCUGAAGGUGGCCAGGGAGCCAAGGAGCCAGGGCCUCUCGUGGUGGUGGCAUCACCUCAGGAAAGCCCAUCAGAACUAGAGUGAAGACUCUGAGGACAUACUUGGCAGCCCUGGGGGAAACACUUCGAGGGAGAGGAAAGGAAAAUCUUUCACGUUUCCAUCAAGGUCCAGGGCUCCAAGCACCCACAGACGCCACAUUGAGCCAGAGUGAGCGUCCGGGUGUUUCUGGCAAGUGCAGAAGGAAAAGUCAGAAGCGCAAGAUUCUGGGGUCCAGGAACCUUUCAGGGUGUGCAACAGCCUCCUCCUCUCCCUCUGCCUCCAUCAAGUCUACCUCCCACCAGAUCUCUGCGGUUCCCUCUCUCAGACUGAGCAGCAGCAAAGCCCCCGUAAAAUAUCUGGUGUCAAAGCUGACCUCGCACAAUCCGAUUCCUUGGGAGUCCCUCAUACUCAGGGAGUUUGGCACGUGGGAGGUUAAUUCUCUUAUCAAAACUGUACAAAAUCCUAAUUUUGCAGAGUGGCAAUUUGGGGGAAAAAAAACCCAGCAAUGGGAAAAUGUUGGUUAUGCAGCACUAGACAUUCAGUUCUCAGGGGAUCAAUUAUAAAAACACUCAUUCAGCUAUUUCUAUUCAAAUGAACACCUGAAGAGGAGGCCUCAAUGGUUUUAAAAGUGUGUGGAUAUUACUGGAUAAAUGUUAGUCCAAUAAAAGAGAUCAUCAUCCGCUAUUUGUGUACAUUUAAGUUGACACUAAAAAGAUCUUUGUGGAGUAUCGCUGCGGCUGCUGCUUUUUCUGCAUGCAUCUUUUUAUCUCCUAUUCCCUUAACACUUUAGCAACUGAAGAAAACAGACCAAAUGUGGCUGGUCAUGGUUUUCUUCUCCUUCUC